CGCUGCCGCUCCGAGUGCCAAUGGGAGCGGAUCCCCGAGCUCGUCAAGCAGCUGUCGGCCAAGCUUAUCGCCAACGAUGACAUGGCUGAGCUGCUCCUAGGGGAGUCGAAACUGGAGCAGCACUUGAAGGAGAAGCCCCUUCGUCAGGGAGCCAGUCCCCGGGGCCCCAGACCCCAGCUGACCGAAGUGCGCAAGCAUCUGACUGCUGCUCUGGACCG
rnacentral:lncRNA from 1 species